rnacentral:rRNA from 1 species
CGACCGGCGCACGGGUGAGUAACACGUAUCCAACCUGCCGAUAACUCAGGGAUAGCCUUUCGAAAGAAAGAUUAAUAUCCGAUAGGAUAUCAAGAUCGCAUGAUCUUGAUAUUAAAGAAUUUCGGUUAUCGAUGGGGAUGCGUUCCAUUAGUUAGUUGGCGGGGUAACGGCCCACCAAGACGACGAUGGAUAGGGGUUCUGAGAGGAAGGUCCCCCACAUUGGAACUGAGACACGGUCCAAACUCCUACGGAAGGCAGCAG